rnacentral:rRNA from 1 species
CGGCGAGUGAAGCGGCAAUAGCUCAAAUUUGAAAUCUGGCGUCUUCGGCGUCCGAGUUGUAAUUUGAAGAAGGUAUCUUUGAGGCUGGCUCUUGUCUAUGUUCCUUGGAACAGGACGUCACAGAGGGUGAGAAUCCCGUGCGAUGAGAUGCCCAGUUUCGUGUAAAGUUCCUUCGACGAGUCGAGUUGUUUGGGAAUGCAGCUCUAAGUGGGUGGUAAAUUCCAUCUAAAGCUAAAUAUUUGCGAGAGACCGAUAGCGAACAAGUACUGUGAAGGAAAGAUGAAAAGAACUUUGAAAAGAGAGUGAAAAAGUACGUGAAAUUGUUGAAAGGGAAGGGCUUGAGGUCAGACUUGGUUUUACCAGGCCAGCAUCAGUUUGGGUGGCGGGAUAAUAACUAAGGAAAGUGGCACUGCUUCGGUAGUGUGUUAUAGCCUUGGUUGAUACCGCCUGCCUAGACUGAGGACUGCGUCUUUGACUAGGAUGCUGGCAUAAUGACCUUAAGCCGCCCGUCUUGAAACACGGACCAAGGAGUCUAACGUCUAUGCGAGUGUUUGGGUGUAAAACCCGUACGCGUAAUGAAAGUGAACGUAGGUGAGAGCCGUAAGGUGCAUCAUCGACCGAUCCUGAUGUCUUCGGAUGGAUUUGAGUAAGAGCAUAGCUGUUGGGACCCGAAAGAUGGUGAACUAUGCCUGAAUAGGGUGAAGCCAGAGGAAACUCUGGUGGAGGCUCGUAGCGGUU